rnacentral:tRNA from 1 species
GGGGUUCUGGCUCAGUGGCAGAGCACUUGCCUCGCACACAUGUGGCACUAAGUUCGAUCCUCAGCACCUCA